CCUAUAAGACUGGGAUAACUUCGGGAAACCGGAGCUAAUACCGGAUAACAUUUGGAACCGCAUGGUUCUAAAGUGAAAGAUGGUUUUGCUAUCACUUAUAGAUGGACCCGCGCCGUAUUAGCUAGUUGGUAAGGUAACGGCUUACCAAGGCGACGAUACGUAGCCGACCUGAGAGGGUGAUCGGCCACACUGGAACUGAGACACGGUCCAGACUCCUACGGGAGGCAGCAGUAGGGAAUCUUCCGCAAUGGGCGAAAGCCUGACGGAGCAACGCCGCGUGAGUGAUGAAGGGUUUCGGCUCGUAAAACUCUGUUAUUAGGGAAGAACAAAUGUGUAAGUAACUAUGCACAUCUUGACGGUACCUAAUCAGAAAGCCACGGCUAACUACGUGCCAGCAGCCGCGGUAAUACGUAGGUGGCAAGCGUUAUCCGGAAUUAUUGGGCGUAAAGCGCGCGUAGGCGGUUUCUUAAGUCUGAUGUGAAAGCCCACGGCUCAACCGUGGAGGGUCAUUGGAAACUGGGAAACUUGAGUGCAGAAGAGGAAAGUGGAAUUCCAUGUGUAGCGGUGAAAUGCGCAGAGAUAUGGAGGAACACCAGUGGCGAAGGCGACUUUCUGGUCUGUAACUGACGCUGAUGUGCGAAAGCGUGGGGAUCAAACAGGAUUAGAUACCCUGGUAGUCCACGCCGUAAACGAUGAGUGCUAAGUGUUAGGGGGUUUCCGCCCCU
rnacentral:rRNA from 1 species